rnacentral:lncRNA from 1 species
AUAACUUCGUAAAUCAAAUAUUGAUUCAUUAAAUCGAUUCUCUUCACUAGAAUCAACACUAAUACAAAAGAAAUAAAAAAAAACUAAGAAGAAGAGAUAGCACCAAGCUUAUCUCUGGCUCAGUACUAUUGCAGUCUAGCCCUUUUUUCCCCUCUCCCAUCCUCUUUAUAUUAUCCCAAGAUACCAACUCCUAUACUACAAAUGACAGCUACUUUUUUUGACUAUUCAUCCUAUCUACAUGCUAAACCACAUUUUCAACAGUUAUCUAUCUAUGUUUACAUUAUACACUAGAUAUCUAAAUUCAAAAAAUAAC